UACGUAGGUGACAAGCGUUGUCCGGAUUUAUUGGGCGUAAAGAGCUCGUAGGCGGCUUGUUACGUCGACUGUGAAAACCCGACGGCUCAACCGUGUGGUCUGCAGUCGAUACGGGCAGGCUAGAGUUCGGUAGGGGAGACUGGAAUUCCUGGUGUAGCGGUGAAAUGACGCAGAUAUCAGGAGGAACACCGGUGGCGAAGGCGGGUCUCUGGGCCGAUACUGACACUGAGGUGCGAAAGCGUGGGGAGCAAACAGG
rnacentral:rRNA from 1 species